rnacentral:rRNA from 1 species
AUGAUGACAGAUGUUGCAGAGCGCCUUGUCAUAUUGAAUCGAUCUUAUAGGUUACAUGCACGACACAUAAGUGCUGACUAUUCAGAGGAAGCUGAAAUCAGAAGUUCAUUUGUUGUGCAUCGAAAAGUUGGCCACUUACCAUUACAGGGGGUGCAAGACACGAACUAUCGUGGCACAAGCAAUUCUAGCUCUGUCUCUACUGGGUUCUACAAGUUGAACAAUUUGGACAUUUUCAACUGGAAAUCACACAGGAAUUUCAAUAGGCACAACAUGCAUAUAUUAGAGAAGUCACAUUUUAUAAAGAUUUUCACGAAUGAGGAGCUCAAAUCAAUACUAAGGAACACAAAUUUCAUUGGAGAAGGUGCUUUCGCUGUAAUUUACAGGUGCGUUGUUGAUAAUUCACUGGUCACGGUAAAGAAACUAAUCAAUAAUAAUGAGAGAGAGAUUGAAAAUCUUGGGAAUGAAAUCCUCAUCCAUUCACAAGUCAGCCACAAGAACAUCGUUAGGCUCAUAGGUUGUUCCCUAGAAAUGGAUACUCGCAUGCUAGUGUACGAGUUGCUCCCCAGAAGAAGCCUUUAUGACAUUCUUCACAACGGCAGCAUGGUGCCUCCCAACUUGGAUGUGCGUUUAAAUAUCGUUGCGGAAUCAGCACAAGGUUUGGCAUAUCUGCAUUCACAAGCUCGUACCAGAAUCCUACAUGGCAAUGUUAAACCAGCAAGUAUACUCUUGGAUGAUGAUUGUACACCAAAGAUCUCAGGCUUUGGCCUAUCGAGGUUGAUUGUGAGAGAUAAGGAGCAUACUUCUGUCGUCAUCGGUGACAUGGCCUAUAUGGAUCCAUUGUAUAUGCAAACAGGCCUACUGACCUUGAAAAGUGAUCAUUAG